GAUAAAUGGUGUAUAACAGAGGAAAAUCCUCCCUCUCUAUGUGGAAAUUCAUCUUCAUCGCUGGUCGGAAACGUGUCACGUUUCAUCCCUCCGGUUACCCAGGAAUCGUGGGAGCUGCAACAGGUGGAAAGCCUCCAACAGCUCGACGUGGGGGCUCAAUGGACUGGUGUGACCUGGCUGUACGGACGCUGAGACUCUCGGAUCCGGUAUGAGACUUGCAGGUAGACGGUGUUUUCUUCAGGUAAACAGUGUUAAAUUGACG